rnacentral:pre_miRNA from 1 species
UUAAUGCUAAUCGUGAUAGGGGUUUUAAAUGUGAAGAACUCCUACAUCUUAGCAUUAACA